CGCCGCGUGAGUGAUGAAGGUUUUCGGAUCGUAAAACUCUGUUGUCAGGGAAGAACAAGUGCCGGAGUAACUGCCGGCACCUUGACGGUACCUGGCCAGAAAGCCACGGCUAACUACGUGCCAGCAGCCGCGGUAAUACGUAGGUGGCAAGCGUUGUCCGGAAUUAUUGGGCGUAAAGCGCGCGCAGGCGGUUCCUUAAGUCUGAUGUGAAAGCCCACGGCUCAACCGUGGAGGGUCAUUGGAAACUGGGGAACUUGAGUGCAGAAGAGGAGAGUGGAAUUCCACGUGUAGCGGUGAAAUGCGUAGAGAUGUGGAGGAACACCAGUGGCGAAGGCGACUCUCUGGUCUGUAACUGACGCUGAGGCGCGAAAGCGUGGGGAGCAAACAGGAUUAGAUACCCUGGUAGUCCACGCCGUAAACGAUGAGUGCUAAGUGUUAGAGGGUUUCCGCCCUUUAGUGCUGCAGCAAACGCA
rnacentral:rRNA from 1 species